UGGCGGACGGGUGAGUAACGCGUGGGCAACCUGCCCCAUACAGGGGGAUAACAGUUAGAAAUGACUGCUAAUACCGCAUAAGCGCACGGCAACGCAUGUUGCUGUGUGAAAAACUCCGGUGGUAUGGGAUGGACCCGCGUCUGAUUAGCCAGUUGGCAGGGUAACGGCCUACCAAAGCGACGAUCAGUAGCCGGCCUGAGAGGGUGGACGGCCACAUUGGGACUGAGACACGGCCCAAACUCCUACGGAAGGCAGCAG
rnacentral:rRNA from 1 species